UACAGAGGUCCCAAGCGUUUGUUCGGAUUCAUUGGGCGUAAAGGGUGUGUAGGCGGUUCUUUAAGUUUGGUGUGAAAUCUCCCGGCUUAACCGGGAGGGUGCGCCGAAUACUGAGGGACUAGAGUACGGGAGAGGAAAGUGGAAUUCCUGGUGUAGCGGUGAAAUGCGUAGAUAUCAGGAGGAACACCGGUGGUGUAGACGGCUUUCUGGACCGUAACUGACGCUGAGACACGAAAGCGUGGGUAGCAAACAGG
rnacentral:rRNA from 1 species